UUGAAAUACAGAGGAAAGUCCGGGCUUCGCAGGGCAGGAUGCCGGAUAACGUCCGGUGGAGGCGACUCUAAGGAAAGUGCAACAGAAAAUAUACCGCCUUAUGAAGAUAGGAGAGGCCCACGAAGUGGGAAGAACCUGUCUUCCCGAGGUAAGGGUGAAAUGGCAGUGUAAGAGACUACCGCCCGGGUGGUAACACGCGGGGCAGUGUAAACCCCAUCCGAAGCAAGACCAAGAAGAAGCGAUACGGUUGCCCGCCGUGCUUCGGGUAGGUCGCUCGAGGUCGCCGGUAACGGCGAUCCUAGAUAGAUGAUUGUCGCGGGAUUUUCCCGUACAGAACCCGGCUUACUGGCUGC
rnacentral:RNase_P_RNA from 1 species